AAGAAAGUAGCUAGGAACUGCUAACUCCUACUUCUACAAAUAAAACUGUAGCUUUCUUA
rnacentral:tRNA from 1 species